ACGAACGCUGGCGGCGUGCUUCACACAUGCAAGUCGAACGGUGAAGCGCCUUCCUUUUUGGUGGGUGUGGAUGAGUGGCGAACGGGUGAGUAACACGUGAGUAACCUGCCCCCUUCUUCUGGAUAACCGCAUGAAAGUGUGGCUAAUACGGGAUAUUCUGGGUCUGUCGCAUGAUGGGUCUGGGAGAGAUAUUGUUUCGGUGGGGGAUGGGCUCGCGGCCUAUCAGCUUGUUGGUGGGGUGAUGGCCUACCAAGGCGGUGACGGGUAGCCGGCCUGAGAGGGUGGACGGUCACACUGGGACUGAGACACGGCCCAGACUCCUACGGGAGGCAGCAGUGGGGAAUAUUGCACAAUGGGCGCAAGCCUGAUGCAGCGACGCCGCGUGAGGGAUGGAGGCCUUCGGGUUGUGAACCCCUUUCGCCAGUGAAGCAGGCCUGCCUCGUUUGUGGGUGGGUUGACGGUAGCUGGAUAAGAAGCGCCGGCUAACUACGUG
rnacentral:rRNA from 1 species